GACGAACGCUGGCGGCGUGCUUAACACAUGCAAGUCGAACGGAAAGGCCCUGCUUUUGUGGGGUGCUCGAGUGGCGAACGGGUGAGUAACACGUGAGUAACCUGCCCUUGACUUUGGGAUAACUUCAGGAAACUGGGGCUAAUACCGGCUAGGAGCUCCUGCUGCAUGGUGGGGGUUGGAAAGUUUCGGCGGAUGGGGAUGGACUCGCGGCUUAUCAGCUUGUUGGUGGGGUAGUGGCUUACCAAGGCUUUGACGGGUAGCCGGCCUGAGAGGGUGACCGGCCACAUUGGGACUGAGAUACGGACCAGACUCGUACGGGAGGCAGCAGUGGGGAAUAUUGCACAAUGGGCGGAAGCCUGAUGCAGCAACGCCGCGUGCGGGAUGACGGCCUUCGGGUUGUAAACCGCUUUCGCCUGUGACGAAGCGUGAGUGACGGUAAUGGGUAAAGAAGCACCGGCUAACUACGUG
rnacentral:rRNA from 1 species